CUCCCUCAAUACCCCUAUCUGCCACUACCCUGUCCACUCCUUAAUUCUCCUUACCCCACCACUAAACUCCAUCUCGCCAACCACCCACUCCUCCUUCCCCCAGCCUUCUUUUGCUACUUCCACCUACUACUCCUUUUCUGUCCCCCUGUCCCUUUCACUAGCAUUACUCUCCCACUACUCCUUCCCCUUCAUUUUCCCGAUCACUCCUACCUUCCCCUCGCCUCCAAGGAGAUCUGGUCCUAUAAACAAUCGGAAUAAGCCCUCUCUAAAUCUUUCUUGACCAUCUCAUCAUCGAAAGAAAGAAUUUGCAAUAAGAAGAAAACUCCAGCAUCCAAUCACUGUCGCCAUUUUCUUGCUGCAAAGGUGAUCACCACAGCUAACUUUACUGCGGUUGUCCUCAUCCCUGAAGAGGAAAUGCAACUCGACAAUGCAAAUGAUGAUGAUGAUGAUGAUGAUGACAACAAUAAUAAUAUCAGUAUUUCUUUUGUGUUACUUGUAUUUUUGUGAAAUGCAGAGUACUUGGCAAAAGCCAAGGAUCAAACUAUUGUUUUGAAAAUGAUUGCCAGCUACGUUUUGCUUUUGAAUCUUAAAAUGGUUUUGAGUCUA